rnacentral:rRNA from 1 species
GGACCUUUUCCUAGUACGAGAGGACCGGAAAGGACGUACCUCUGGUGGACCGGUUGUGGCGCCAGCUGCAUUGCCGGGUAGCUAAGUACGGACGAGAUAACCGCUGAAAGCAUCUAAGCGGGAAACUCACCUCAAAACCAGGUUUCGCUCGAGAGCCGGGGAAGACGACCCCGUCGAUAGGCCAGGUGUGUAAGCGCAGCAAUGCGUUGAGCUUACUGGUCCUAAUCGCUCGAUUGGCUUGAUCGC